GCAAGUCGAGCGCACCCUUCGGGGCGAGCGGCGAACGGGUGAGUAACGCGUAGGUAUCUACCUAGUAGUGGGGAAUAACCAUUGGAAACGAUGGCUAAAACCGCAUACGCCCUGAGGGGGAAAACUGAGGUGCUAUUAGAGGAGCCUGCGUUAGAUUAGCUAGUUGGUGAGGUAAUGGCUCACCAAGGCGACGAUCUAUAGCUGGUUUGAGAGGAUGAUC
rnacentral:rRNA from 1 species